rnacentral:rRNA from 1 species
UGCAGUCGAGCGGAAAAGGCCCUUCGGGGUACUCGAGCGGCGAACGGGUGAGUAACACGUGAGUAACCUGCCCUGGACUUUGGGAUAACCCUCGGAAACGGGGGCUAAUACCGAAUAUGACUACUGAUCGCAUGGUUGGUGGUGGAAAGUUUUUUCGGUCUGGGAUGGACUCGCGGCCUAUCAGCUUGUUGGUGGGGUAAUGGCCUACCAAGGCGACGACGGGUAGCCGGCCUGAGAGGGCGACCGGCCACACUGGGACUGAGACACGGCCCAGACUCCUACGGGAGGCAGCAGUGGGGAAUAUUGCACAAUGGGCGGAAGCCUGAUGCAGCGACGCCGCGUGAGGGAUGACGGCCUUCGGGUUGUAAACCUCUUUCAGCAGGGACGAAGCGCAAGUGACGGUACCUGCAGAAGAAGCGCCGGCCAACUACGUGCCAGCAGCCGCGGUAAGACGUAGGGCGCGAGCGUUGUCCGGAUUUAUUGGGCGUAAAGAGCUCGUAGGCGGCUUGUCGCGUCGAAUGUGAAAACCCGAGGCUCAACUUCGGGCUUGCAUUCGAUACGGGCAGGCUAGAGUUCGGUAGGGGAGACUGGAAUUCCUGGUGUAGCGGUGAAAUGCGCAGAUAUCAGGAGGAACACCGGUGGCGAAGGCGGGUCUCUGGGCCGAUACUGACGCUGAGGAGCGAAAGCGUGGGGAGCGAACAGGAUUAGAUACCCUGGUAGUCCACGCUGUAAACGUUGGGCGCUAGGUGUGGGGACCCUCUCCGGGUUUCUGCGCCGCAGCUAACGCAUUAAGCGCCCCG